rnacentral:rRNA from 1 species
GACUACACGGGUAUCUAAUCCUGUUUGCUCCCCACGCUUUCGCGCAUCAGCGUCAGUAUCGGACCAGGAAGCCGCCUUCGCCACCGGUGUUCUUCCUGAUAUCUACGCAUUUCACCGCUACACCAGGAAUUCCACUUCCCUCUUCCGAACUCAAGAUUACCAGUAUCUAAGGCAAUUUUACGGUUAAGCCGCAAACUUUCACCCCAGACUUAAUAACCCGCCUACGCGCCCUUUACGCCCAAUAAUUCCGGACAACGCUUGCCCCCCCCGUAUUACCGCGGCUGCUGGCACGGAGUUAGCCGGGGCUUCCUCUGGAGGUACCGUCACUCAUGCACCCUAUUCGAAUGCAUGACGUUCUUCCCUCCUAACAAAGGUUUACACUCCUAAGAGCUUCAUCCCUCACGCGGCGUUGCUGCGUCAGACUUGCGUCCAUUGCGCAAUAUUCCUCACUGCAGCCGCCCGUAGG